rnacentral:sRNA from 1 species
CCUGAAAUCUAAUCACUCCACGGCAGCGCGCUAGA